GUAAAGUUCUAGAACAAUGAAAAAAAAACUUUACAUCAAACUGUAUUCAUCUGCAGGAAGAAAUAAGUUUUGUUUAGGUGUGUUUUCCAAAGGUGCACAGGAAAAUGGAAUACAAGCAGAAGUGCCUAUAUCGCUGCACAAAUGAAACGGAGAUUGGAAACCAAGACAGCCAGCGCAACUGAAUUUUGGAGACAGGAUAUGAGAAAGAUAUCCAAGGACAGACUUCAAGGAUACUGUGAAGUUCCUAAACUUUCAUCUUCUGAGUCAGGUGUGGAAUAUGUCAAGAUUCUCUGAACUAUGAAGAAAGAACAAAAAGCAACUAAAACAGUAAUUCUGACUCUCAAAUUCUACUUCAGCUGCAUUAUUUGCUGUAUAUGGAUCACUCCAUGACCCCAGAG
rnacentral:lncRNA from 1 species